CUCAGAUUGAACGCUGGCGGCAGGCUUAACACAUGCAAGUCGAGCGGUAGCACAGGGGAGCUUGCUCCCUGGGUGACGAGCGGCGGACGGGUGAGUAAUGUCUGGGAAACUGCCUGAUGGAGGGGGAUAACUACCGGAAACGGUAGCUAAUACCGCAUAACGUCGCAAGACCAAAGAGGGGGACCUUCGGGCCUCUUGCCAUCAGAUGUGCCCAGAUGGGAUUAGCUAGUAGGUGGGGUAAUGGCUCACCUAGGCGACGAUCCCUAGCUGGUCUGAGAGGAUGACCAGCCACACUGGAACUGAGACACGGUCCAGACUCCUACGGGAGGCAGCAGUGGGGAAUAUUGCACAAUGGGCGCAAGCCUGAUGCAGCCAUGCCGCGUGUGUGAAGAAGGCCUUCGGGUUGUAAAGCACUUUCAGCGAGGAGGAAGGUGGUGAACUUAAUACGUUCAUCAAUUGACGUUACUCGCAGAAGAAGCACCGGCUAACUCCGUGCCAGCAGCCGCGGUAAUACGGAGGGUGCAAAGCGUUAAUCGGAAUUACUGGG
rnacentral:rRNA from 1 species